rnacentral:rRNA from 1 species
CAAAAUGACUCUCGGCAACGGAUAUCUCGGCUCUCGCAUCGAUGAAGAACGUAGCGAAAUGCGAUACUUGGUGUGAAUUGCAGAAUCCAGCGAACCAUCGAGUCUUUGAACGCAAGUUGCGCCCGAAGCCUUCGGGCUAAGGGCACGUCUGCCUGGG